rnacentral:rRNA from 1 species
AUUGAACGCUGGCGGCAGGCCUAACACAUGCAAGUCGAGCGGGGUUUUCGGACCUAGCGGCGGACGGGUGAGUAAUGCGUAGGAAGCUGCCCGAUAGAGGGGGAUACCAGUUGGAAACGACUGUUAAUACCGCAUAAUGUCUACGGACCAAAGUGUGGGACCUUCGUGCCACAUGCUAUCGGAUGCGCCUACGUGGGAUUAGCUAGUUGGUGAGGUAAUGGCUCACCAAGGCGACGAUCUCUAGCUGGUUUGAGAGGAUGAUCAGCCACACUGGAACUGAGACACGGUCCAGACUCCUACGGGAGGCAGCAGUGGGGAAUAUUGGACAAUGGGCGCAAGCCUGAUCCAGCCAUGCCGCGUGUGUGAAGAAGGCCUUCGGGUUGUAAAGCACUUUCAGCGAGGAGGAAGGGUGGUGUGUUAAUAGCACAUCAUUUUGACGUUACUCGCAGAAGAAGCACCGGCUAACUACGUGCCAGCCGCCGCCGUAACAC